GACGAACGCUGGCGGCGUGCUUAACACAUGCAAGUCGAACGGUGAUGCUCCAGCUUGCUGGAGUGGAUCAGUGGCGAACGGGUGAGUAACACGUGAGCAACCUGCCCCAGACUCUGGAAUAAGCGCUGGAAACGGCGUCUAAUACUGGAUACGAAACUGGCCCGCGUGGGCAUGGUUUGGAAAGUUUUUCGGUUUGGGAUGGUCUCGCGGCCUAUCAGCUUGUUGGUGAGGUAAUGGCUCACCAAGGCGACGACGGGUAGCCGGCCUGAGAGGGCGACCGGCCACACUGGGACUGAGACACGGCCCAGACUCCUACGGGAGGCAGCAGUGGGGAAUAUUGCACAAUGGGCGAAAGCCUGAUGCAGCGACGCCGCGUGAGGGAUGACGGCCUUCGGGUUGUAAACCUCUUUCAGCAGGGAAGAAGCGAAAGUGACGGUACCUGCAGAAGAAGCACCGGCUAACUACGUG
rnacentral:rRNA from 1 species